rnacentral:rRNA from 1 species
CCUACGGGGGGCAGCAGUGGGGAAUAUUGCGCAAUGGGCGAAAGCCUGACGCAGCGACGCCGCGUGAGGGAUGAAGGUCUUCGGAUCGUAAACCUCUGUCAGCAGGGAAGAACGGUCACUGUGCUAAUCAGCAGUGAAUUGACGGUACCUGAAAAGGAAGCACCGGCUAACUCCGUGCACGCAGCCGCGGUAAUACGGAGGGUGCGGGCGUUAAUCGGAAUUACUGGGCGUAAAGCGCUCGUAGGCGGUAUGUCAAGUCAAGGGGGAAAUCCCCGCGCUCAACGUGGGAACUGCCUUUGAAACUGGCAAACUGGAGUGUGUGAGAGGAUAGUGGAAUUCCAGGUGUAGGAGUGAAAUCCGUAGAUAUCUGGAGGAACAUCAGUGGCGAAGGCGACUAUCUGGCACAUAACUGACGCUGAGGAGCGAAAGCGUGGGUAGCAAACAGGAUUAGAUACCCCUGUAGUC